rnacentral:misc_RNA from 1 species
GCUGAAUGAUUACUAAAUCUGAGAUAUAAGGAGUCUGGAAAAACAUCAUUCAAGUGUAAAACGGUAGUAGAACAUAAUACAAACAUACAUGACAAUCAUAACAGCCAAAGGCAGGAAGAUUUUCUUUUUCCUCUUUCUAAUCUAGUUUUACUGCUAUGCACUUUUGGGAUAUCUAAUUUCAAAAUGAGUUCAAGAACCUUCAAGCGGAACUGCCAUCACCUUUAUCUUGUGAUGAUGAAUCUGUUGCCAGUUUCUUUGUUGGGUUUGAGUCAGCACACUCUGAAUUUGUUGA